rfam:Thermotogales bacterium 46_20 MPJ_scaffold_158, whole genome shotgun sequence.
UAGUAAGAGAACCAGCUACCGAAGACAGUAGGUUUAUAAAGGCAGAAGCCGCCUACCGAGGUGCGCAAGAUCUAUGUUUAUUAUGUUGCGGCCUCCGGCCGCAUUUUUUUGAUGAAAGG